GAGGAUUUGCCCCAAAGCUAGUCUACGUCACGACCUCAUCCUAAAGGUCCGUUGAGAAAUGAAAAGACGGGGACAAGAUAUACAACUUCUUUUUAAAGAGAAGCAAGUCAGAUAACGGUCCCCAGGGCUCCAGAGGAACAGCUGAAGCAGGGGCAGUGGUGGCUUGUCAUUGUGGGGCUCCCGCUGUUUCCCUCCCUUUCACUGCUCCCCAUAUGGUCCUGCAGCACUGGAUCCCCAGGGGCCUGUUAACGCCGCACCACCCAGGUCUGGGCCCUGCCACCAGGUCUCUCUCACCUCCUGUCUCACCCCUGCUCCGGGGCUCAUCGUCACCCCAAUGUCCCCUCUACCCUGUGCCCCCACACCCCCCAGCUUUUGAUUGUGUUGAUCACCCCGCAGUAUGGACCAUGAUUUUCUCACUGUUUUUGUUGUAGUGUGUUAACCAGACAUACUGCUACCUCCCUGUUCUUCCUUUUUUACCUUUACACUGAUGUUUCUUAUCUACUUCAUUUGUUCCCUUAUUCACCAGGCGAUGCACUCAAGUGAGGAAUGGCAUAUGCGUCAUUUUCAUAUAAUUUGAUCAAUAAUGGUAAAGACAUGGCCCACUGUAUUUCCUUUUGAAAAUCCAUUAAUUUGACUAAUAUGAGUAUUUGAAUUAUUGGCAGUUGUUAUCCAUCUAAAGGUCAUAAUUGUUUCUCAGAGAAUACUAUUACUUUGUCAAAAUGUCUUAACCGUUAGGUGUCCGAAUGAAGUUUCAUGAUUUGCAACGGUAAUUACAUGUUUGGAUGUAUAGGAUUUUUCUUCCAUUGCUUCAGAUUGACGGCACGGUGGUCGACUGGUUAGCACAUCUGCCUCACAGUUCUGAGGACCGGGGUUCAAAUCCCGGCCUUACCUGUGUGGAGUUUGCAUGUUCUCCCCGUGCCUGUGUGGGUUUUCUUCCGGUACUCCGAUUUCCUCCCAAAAACAUGCGUGGUAGGUUAAUUGGAGACUCUAAAUUUCCCGUAGGUGUGAAAGUGAAUGUGAAUGGUUGUUUGGUUAAAUGUGCCCUGCGAUUGGCUGGUGACCAGUUCAGGGUGUACCCCGCCUCUCGCCCGAAGAUAGCUGUGAUAGGCUCCAGCACGCCCGUGACCACCCUAGUGAGGAUAAGCGGCACAGAAAAUGGAUGGAUGCUUAAUAAUUUUUUUCCAUGAAAACUAACAAAACUACAUCUUAGUGUUUUCAGAGUUCCUUUUUUUGUGGUUAUUUUACGAACAGUCCUUGUUUGUCAUUCAAACUGUCUUUACCAUUAAUACCAUUGGAGUGAGCCUCAUUAUGUUGUUGCAGUAAAUCAGAGGGAUCUGUGAGCUGAAGUGCUAGGAUGAGGCAGCCAUUUUGCAUUCAGACUAGAUAGAGGCUGAGUAGAUUUUGACACCCGCUCACUCCCACAGAGAUUGAUCCCAUUACCUCCCAAUCCCCAGCCAAAAUUUUACAGAAUCCCACUACCUUUCUACCACCAAUCCCCCCCACCCCGUUUUUACUCUGCUUCCGCCCACUUCCCGUGACGUUAGUACCGGCUCCCAGUAACUCUGUGAUUAAUAUCAAAACUCACUCCUAUCCCAUUGCGGGACCAAUGGGAUGCGGUGAGAAUCCCGAAAAAAUUGUCUGCCUCUAAUUCAGACAAAAGCAGACAGAAAGAUAAAUGGUGUUACUGCUGAGAUAUGAAUGAAUAUGUAUGAUGUAUGAUGUUUGUGAAAGUGUAGGAACCGUUGCAUGUCUUUACCGUUAUUACGAUUGUAUAAAGACAAGAGUGUAAUGGGCUCAAUGAGUAGUUAGGAUCAUUUACACACUUGUAUCCACAGAGUUUGAAGGGCAUCACGCAAAUUGUGCUUUUUUUAUGAAGCUGUGUAUGUCUUUAAUGUUAUGCAAGAAGUGUAUUUGAAUAGGCCACCACCAUUUGCUUGGUCGAAAAGUACCAACUUUUCGAUGAAUGCCUAAAAUUGUAAAUCAUCACUAACUUUUUGAAAAUAGGACUUUAGGUGUAGCUUUUUUAGUAUGGGAAGCAUUUACCCAUAUAAAACCAAGGCGGCAUAAAAAGAAUUGCUCUAAGUCUCUUAACCGGUAUUGUAUAUGUAAAUGACCCAUACGCCAAACAUGGAGUUAAUAUAUUAGUAUUAUGACUACCAGUAGACGAAUAUUUUACUCUAAGUCAUUUUCUUUCUACCAGUAAUAUUUCUUACUUAAAGAAACUGAGCAGAUCACCAAAAGAGUAGCAUGGCAUAUUCUUUGUCUGACCACAGCGUGUUCUGGCGAUUGGUCCAUGCAGUGGCCCUCAGUGACGCUGAGGCUCCCUGUCUCUUUAAAGAGUGAUUUAAACUCUGCAGGCCCUUAGCAGACCUUGCUCCUAGAAAGUACUUCAGUUUAUCUUCACCAACAGAGCCCCAAGCGUCUCUAAAUCAGCUGUCACUACCUCGCGGGGAUUAGCAGGGAUUUAUAAGUGAACAGGGAGUGCUAUUUCACACAAGUUAUCAAACAGAUCAUAAAACACCAUCAUUGGGAUUUGACUGUUUGGUUACACAUGUUGGAGCUGCGCCUUAUGGUCAUGCUGUUGGGUUUGCUGAGUGUUUACACUAGAGAGAGAAUGUCUGAUCUGUUCUUUUUUUUUUUUUUAAAUGUCUUUUGCAAAUAUGAUUUGGCUGCAUCUCAGUCACCCUGCAGAAAAGAAUGACUAACAGAACCAAAGUGAUACAUAUAAAACAAACUUGAUAUUGCAGUUGUUUUGAUAACUAACGCACGCACACAUUAAACAAUUACUUUGUCACAUAUCUGAAUUGUCAUAUGCAUGUUGACCUAUUAAACCUGGCAUUCUUUUUUAUAUUCAUGUUUACUGUGAAAAUUAUACACAAGCAAUUUGAAUGGAGCCACAUACUGCAUCGUAGCGUCCUCUAUUGACCGUAUGGGGGAACACGCUUCAAAACUCCUCAAAGCACACACUGGACUGACAAAAUUAUCAGACAAGGUAGACUGUACAGUACAUGUUGAUGUGAUGGAGAAUAUUAACAAUCGUUAAAGAUACACAAACAAAAAUGACUAAGGUUCUGUCAAUGUAAUUAGAUUGCAAUAAAUUAUAGCUGCACUAUACAAUAUGUGUUGCAAUUAUAGCAUACAGUCGAGUUGUAAUUUCUCUCACUUUCUUGCUUGGCUUUCGAGAUUUAUACAAUAUAUGAAACGUGAAAAUGAAUGAAAUAUUAAUUUAAUAUAAACAUCUAGUACGAGGUGCGUCAGAGAAUUUCCAGGACUCGUGUCACCUGCUUGAGCAAGAGGAAGCAAUCACACGGAGCUCGGUUGGAUGAGUAGGGCUCGGGAGGUUGCUCCAGCACGACAAUCUUCUUUUUGGCCAGGAACUGUUAGAUGGGCAGUCUACUGUGAACAGGCACGUCGUCACGGUGAAGCAGCCAUGAGUUGUCCUGCCGCAACUCUCACCUCUUCUUGCGCACUGAA